rnacentral:rRNA from 1 species
UACGAGGGGGGCGAGCGUUGUUCGGAAUUAUUGGGCGUAAAGGGUGCGUAGGCGGUUCCGCAAGUCCUGUGUGAAAUCUUCGGGCUCAACUCGAAGUCUGCACGGGAAACUGCGGGGCUUGAGUGUGGGAGAGGUGAGUGGAAUUCCCGGUGUAGCGGUGAUAUGCGUAGAUAUCGGGAGGAACACCUGUGGCGAAAGCGGCUCACUGGACCAUAACUGACGCUGAUGCACGAAAGCUGGGGGAGCAAACAGG